rnacentral:misc_RNA from 1 species
GAUGAAGAACCGCAGCGAAAUGCGAUAAGUAAUGUGAAUUGCAGAAUUCCGUGAAUCAUCGAAUCUUUGAACGCACAUUGCGCCCCCUGGUAUUCCGGGGGGCAUGCCUGUCCGAGCGUCAUUGCAACCCUCAAGCGCGGCUUGUGUGUUGGGCUUCGUCCCCCCGUGGACGUGCCCGAAAGGCAGUGGCGGCGUCCCGAAUGGUGCCCGAGCGUAUGGGAACUCUCUUCCGCUCGAACCGGCCCAUUCGGCGCUGGUCGAACCCCAAUUUUUUUUUACCGGUUGACCUCGGAUCAGGUAGGGAUACCCGCUGAACUUAAGCAUAUCAAUAAGCGGAGGA